GCGUGUGUGAAGAAGGCUUGCGGGUUGUAAAGCACUUUCAGUUGGGAAGAAAAGCUUAUAGUUAAUAACUAUGGGUCUUGACGUUACCAACAGAAGAAGCACCGGCUAACUCUGUGCCAGCAGCCGCGGUAAUACAGAGGGUGCUAGCGUUAAUCGGAAUUACUGGGCGUAAAGGGUGCGUAGGCGGUUGAGCGAGUUGGAUGUGAAAGCCCAAGGCUUAACCUUGGAAUUGCAUUUGAUACUACUCAGCUAGAGUACAGUAGAGGAAAACGGAAUUUCUAGUGUAGCGGUGAAAUGCGU
rnacentral:rRNA from 1 species